AACGAGCGCUGGCGGCAUGCCUAACACAUGCAAGUCGAACGAGACCUUCGGGUCUAGUGGCGCACGGGUGCGUAACGCGUGGGAACCUGCCCUUAGGUUCGGAAUAACUCCCCGAAAGGGGUGCUAAUACCGGAUAAUGUCUUCGGACCAAAGAUUUAUCGCCUUUGGAUGGGCCCGCGUUGGAUUAGCUAGUUGGUAGGGUAAAAGCCUACCAAGGCGACGAUCCAUAGCUGGUCUGAGAGGAUGAUCAGCCACACUGGGACUGAGACACGGCCCAGACUCCUACGGGAGGCAGCAGUGGGGAAUAUUGGACAAUGGGCGAAAGCCUGAUCCAGCAAUGCCGCGUGAGUGAUGAAGGCCUUAGGGUUGUAAAGCUCUUUUACCCGGGAUGAUAAUGACAGUACCGGGAGAAUAAGCUCCGGCUAACCCCGUG
rnacentral:rRNA from 1 species